UCUGCUUUCUAACCACGGCUGUAACUUUCUGGUUGAGUGGCCACGACUGCAAACAAGGCCAGUUUCACUAAAAACCUAGUGUGCUUCUCCCCCGCUCUCCCUCUCUCCUCCCCACUCUGUCCUCACCUACAGGUAUCAUCGGACUCAGAGCUAUGUGUCUGCGAUGGGCAGCUAAGGAUCCAACCAUCCAGUACCUGGUCCAACCAUUCUGCCUGUGCUCUGUUGUUGUUAUUGUUGCUGUGCUUUUCUUUCUCUUUAUCCCCUCACCCCAACCGAAUAAGCCCAUGAUAUAAAGUUAUAGUGGAGUCAGUGUGGCCUCUGCUCAUCUUUGCAAAAGUAAAGAGGCUACCCUCCCUGUCCUGUAGGUUGUUGGCGCGGGUGUUGUUCUUACGUUCCUCAGUCCCAAAACAAAAAGACAGAAUGCUUCAACUAGAGUUUAGCUGACUUUGCGGAUCUUUAUUCUGUCUAAACAACUCCACGGACUUCGUCUUAACGUCCUGCGAUCUGCAUUCUAUCGUGGCUAGCUGGCUAGGUUAACGGGUUUAGCCCCAGGUAGCUAACUGAAGUUUUUUUUUUACCAAAUCGUAACUUUUUUCGUGUCAUCACUCUUAUCCCAGCACUCGACAGUCUACAGUGGUAAAUCUAGCGUGAACAAGAACACACCACAAAGAUACUACUAUCUGCAGCUCUUUAACACCACCUGACGCUAGCACUAGCCUUGAGUUUGCAGUGUGAGUGUGGGGCGGCUGGUGUGAGAUUGAGCCCCUCCCAACCUGAGGCCAUCGUCUCUGCAGGAAAAGGGUGGCUGGUGUUUGUUAGGGGAGCGCUCCUGCUCCAUGAGGACGGGUUAAGCAUUUUCUGGUCUUGUUCACGAGUGAGAGAACGAGCGCAACACCGACUGUUCCACGCUCCUUCUCUCGGUCAUAACUUUUGACUUAUGACCAGACAAACAGGACGCAGCUCCUCCACGUGGAGAGGAGCGUUGGGCUUAGGCUUAGAGUUAGGGUUCUCUGACUGCCUGGCAUCACUAUUAGAUGCCUCCUGGAUCCCUUCCAGGUCAGGUGAUCCAGACCAGACCUGCAGGAAGAGGCCCUGGGGAAGACCCAGGACAGGACGGACUAUGUCUGGACUGCUCCUGGGAACGCCCUGGGACCCCCCGGUGAGCUGCAGGUGGCCAGCGAGUGGGACUGGGGUUAGGGCCAUGGUGACCAAUUGGAAAACUUGAGCAAUACAAGUGACGACUAGAUGAGCGACGACUCAACAGAGGUCACCACUUCAAAUUAGAAAUACAAAUUUAAUUAAAAUUAAACGGACUAUCUCUAUUCAAAUUCUAUAAUAACAUAGGGACAUUUUAAUCCAGUCUUUCCUUAAAAGGGGAAAGCAGUUGAACAUGAGUCAGCCUCCAUCCUUCUAGUCACCCUCCUUCUUUCUAUAGUCAACCUCCCUCCUUCUAGUCAACCUCCUUCCUUCUAGUCAACCUCCCUCCUUCUAGUCAACCUCCCUCCUUCUAGUCAACCUCCUUCCUUCUAGUCAACCUCCUUCUUUCUAGUCAACCUCCCUCCUUCUAGUCAACCUCCCUCCUUCUAGUCAACCUCCCUCCUUCUAGUCAACCUCCCUCCUUCUAGUCGAGGUCCCUCCUUCUAGUCAACCUCCCUCCUUCUAGUCAACCUCCCUCCUUCUAGUCAACCUCCUUCUUUCUAGUCAACCUCCCUCCUUCUAGUCGAGGUCCCUCCUUCUAGUCAACCUCCCUCCUUCUAGUCAACCUCCUUCUUUCUAGUCAACCUCCCUCCUUCUAGUCGAGGUCCCUCCUUCUAGUCAACCUCCCUCCUUCUAGUCGAGGUCCCUCCUUCUAGUCAACCUCCCUCCUUCUAGUCGAGGUCCCUGACAGUCACACUCCCGCCUCCUUUCCUCUCACCCUCCAAGCUCUUUCCCUCACUCCCUCCCUCUAGUCGAGCUCCCUCAUGUUCAAGCCCCUUCCCCUCUCACCCUCCAGGCUCCGUCACUGCCUCCCUCUAGUUCAGCUCCCUGUUCAAGUUCCCCCCUCUCUCCCUCUAAGCUCCAACCGUUCCUCUAUUCGAGUUUCCUGAUGUUCAAGCUCCUUCCUUACAGUAUGUCCUUCCAACCACCCUUCUUCGCUCUAUUCAUGCUCUCUUACUCCCUCCCUCUCACCUUGCAAGCCCCCUCCAUCCCUCCCUCACUCCAAGCUUCCUCUCUCUAGUCAAGCUUUUCCUCCCUCCCUCUUACCCUCCAUGCUCCCUCCAUCCCUCCCUCUCAUCAACCUCUCUCUUUCUAGUCAAGCUCUCUUCUUCCCUCUCUCUCAUCCUACAAGCUCCCUUCCUCCCUCUAACCGAGCCCCCUCAUGUUCAAGCUCCAUCCCUCCCUUUAUUCAAACUUUUUUCCUCCCUCCCUCUCACCCUCCAAGCUUCCUCCGUCCCUCCCUCUCUUUAACCUUCCUCUUUGAAGUCAAGCUCUCUUUUCCCCCCUCGCUCUCCCUCCAAGUCCCCCAAACUCUAUCUCCAACAUCUAGUCUCCCCCCGACUGUCUCUCCCUCCUUUUAUCUCUCCAAGUCCCCUCCCUUCCUCCCGCUCCCUCUCCUCUUUUGAAUCUCCUUCUUUCCUUCCAUCCUUUUCUCUCCAAGCUUGCGCUCUUCUGCCUUCUUUUGCUCCGUCUCUCUCCCUCAUUCUCCUUCUCCAAGCUCCCUCCCUCUCUCCCUAUCCCUCUCUUUUUUCCCUCUGUGCCUCUGAAUACCAGAGCUGAUGCAGCGUAAGGGCAGACUCCUGAUGACAGGUGUAGCUGUGGAGGCUGGAGAACUUCAUUCAGGGUUUCCUUGACGACAGAGGCCAGAUAAUGACCUUAGGACGUGGAAAGAUGUCAUUCCCUGUGUUUCCGGAAGCUCAGUGCACCUGGUUGUCCUCAACAUCAGCCUUCCUCAGUUUCUCCCCAAAUCCAAACUAUCAUUCAAUUAAUGUGUCACCCUAGAAAUAACCCUGCCCUCCACCUCACCACCCAACAAACUGGCCACUAUUUUAAAAACUGAUUCCCACAAACCGGCUGCUAUGAUGACAGGCGAGUCAGAGCUUUGCCCCAGACCUCCACCAUCUCCACCAACAAGAAAUCCUCUGUCUUUGAGCUGUACACGUGAAAACGUUUAUGUAUAAAUGAUCAAGAGAUCAAAGAAUAUUGGCUUCAAUAACGUUUUGGCAACAUGAAAACAUCUUACUGGUUUAACUGGUCUCAUACAUACAUAUUAAAAGUGGCGAAAUAACACGUCAUUAACCGACAUUUUUAAUUUCAUACAAUAUAAACUGUCCUCGUCACUCAAUUUGGAGAAAACAAAUAUAGAACAAACAUGUUGCUGCAACAAUGAGUCGUAGAUCUGCUGAGUCCUGGCGUCAUGUCAUAGAGUUAAACAUUUACGAUCGACGACUACUGUAAAGCGAAUUACAGUGGCAUCACUACGACCACUGGAAAACUUGUAGCGGGUGUUAUUUACAAGUUAUGGCAGUUUAAAGCCCAAAUAAACAGCUGUAGUCUCAGACCGAGCCUCACUGUGCAUCUGUACGAGGCGGUGCGCGCUCCCGCGUACAGCGGUGCGCGCUCCCGCCUUGUUGUCGCAAACAGACACUUUUUGCACCGGGAGUUUGAAAACAGAUCACACCCGCUACAUGUGAGACUCAUUGAGGUUAACUUCAGCUUCACGUUUGCAGUCCCCACAGUGACCAGCAGAUGGCAGCAGCGACCUGCGGGGCCGCAGUGAGCUGCUCUGACGCACAAGCACCUGGACGGCGAUAGAUCACCACAGUCCUCUGAGCUCUGAACAAACAUGCCAAGUCCCGAGUGAUGGAUAUCUACAGCCACAUUUACAUACACUAACUUCAUAAGUGUGAUGAUAGCAUUGUAAAGUUUCCAAAGCAAGUCAUGCAAAUAACCCACACAUCCAGUCAGGCUGCAUUUGCAUCUUUCUGAUAUUAGAAACUUUGUUUUGUUUUCAUUCGGCAAUGAGAAGACAACCUAUGUUUAUUGGACUUUUUUUUCUACAUAGCACAGUUCAAAAUUUGUCUGAAUUUACAUCAAGCGUAUUUUAUCCAAAUCAGUUAAAAUAAACAAACAUAUUUUUUCCAGUCUUCCCCAGAGAUAAAUAAUGAAACCCACACUAUUACACUUCCUAGAAACAAGCUGAACAUUUCAGUCGUGCCUAUUUCAGUCCUGUCCAUUUUGCCUCAGAAUCACUUAUUAAUACAUUUGACAGCUUUCUGUGUGGUUCGAGGCAUUGACCUUGUAGGACAUUGAAACGAGUCCAUCAGACAUCGGAUCAUUUGAAUAUCUGACAGAUCAGUAAACAAAACCACACAUUAAAACUUUGAUCUCCACUUCCCCUCCUCCACAAUUCUGCUCUUUUUGAUAUGUGUCCAUAAAGGGUGAACACAGGGUUCCUGAAUGUAAAUUCUACUCAAAUAAACAAACCUUAUUAAGUCUGUGGUUGAAACCGCCGCCCCCUUCAGAUUCAGGAAAGGACUGUGCCGCAGUGAUUUGGCAGUGAAAGGACUAGUGGUUGUGGCUUCCAUUCACCUUGAAACCAUCUGUAAAAGGCUCUGGUGGAUCUCUGCCGUGGCAUUUUUAUAGAUGCAAAAGAUCUCCCUUGAAUUAAUUUGUCCUUGUCCCCUUUCUUUAAUAAAUCUUUUGCUUUGAUAUUGAUGCAAUUGUUUUCGGUGAAGCAAAAUUAAAGAACUUUAACUGAAAGUUGAGAAUUUUGUCCGUGUGUGAACGCUGGGCCACAUUGUUUAACACGAGUAUUAAUGAGACAAUAAAUAAUCCCAUUUUAUUACACACAGUAGCAGUAGGCUGCAGAAUAACAAAGGUCUUAUCAACAAAACAAAAGAAUACGUAAAACUUAAUUUCUGAAUGAAGGUGUUCAAGGUUGGCAGGUGUGUGCAAACAGGGCCGGGUUAUAAUUAGUUUUACAUGAGCCAGAUUUGGCAGCGAGCUGUUUGUUUGUACUCGGUGUUAUUUGAGAGCAUUAUUUGAAUAACCAAUGCUUACAUUGUGGUGCACUUACUUCUGAUGGAGUGGCUGUUUAAACAGAGAGGAGAGGCGGCGUCAGAGUGACGAGGGCCACACAUUUUGUCUUCAUUAUUGUUCAUGCUGGAACCUUGGUGCAGUGUUGACAUGUCGGCUUGUUCUCUUUCUAGUCCAUAUUUCUCUCUUUUGCUUUAUUUGCAUUUUGCCCUUUCACUUUUUCUAUUUGUAUUCUAUUUUUUUUAUUUUUGCCUUCAUGUCUCACUACCAGUAGUAAAUGGGAGUGCUACAAAUGGCCUAGUUACAGUUCUACUGUACGUCGUUGUUUUUAUUGUCAAGUCAUCCGUCAGCGUCAGCCAUUAGAGGAGCGAUUCACUCUGAAGACAUUUCAGUUCAGGGAAAGACAUUUAGCUAAUUAUCGUCUCGCAGGGCGCUGCUCCCAUCGUUCUCAGCCAACUGCUACGCUCUCUAUCCAGCGUUCCUCGUUCCCCCUCUUAGGUCCUUCUCAUAAAGGGAAAGGUUCGUCCAGAUUUGUGGGCAGGUGCUCCGCCAUCGCUCCUCCCUCGCUUUGCUUUUUGCUUUGCAGGAGCUGCCUUCGAGCGCUCUCCGGGGGCCGGCGUCUGCUCCAAUGCAGCGGCUCCGAGAUCUUUUUCCAAGAUGGUCGGGGGUCAUGAAGGAGGCUGAGAGGAGAGGAAACGCUGUCAGAGGAGUCCUCUUUGUAGUUGCCUUUGUUGCAGGUGUUCUGCCAUUCACUGUUAAAGCACGCUGUUUAAUAUUACAACCUGCCUGACAUCUGGCGCCCUGGGCCUCGCUCUGUAAUGCCGUUGGACACGUUACACAGAACUACACAGGUUGAAUACUAAAUGAUACACAGAACAAGAUGUUUGUAUUUAAAUGCCAGGCAAAUACGCUGCUUGUCUGUCCUCCAGACAAUAGGACAAAGAAGUGGUUUAUUCAAAUGAAACCAACUCCAGCA